AAUUUCUCCAUCAAGAAUUCUCCUAUUUGUUGAGUGGAAAUGGUGUGACUGUGAUGUGAUGUUUGUCCCAUCCUCUGGAGGCAGUGCCACACAGAGGACAGUGUGAGAGGUAUGGAGUUGAGCGGCUCAGUGGGGGUGGAGGGGGUAGCUG
rnacentral:lncRNA from 13 species